AUGGCAGGCCAACGAACAUGUCAAAGGAGGAGCAGCAGAGCUGGCCCCAGGAAAAUGCAAGAACCUCCAAAGAGCAUUGAAGAAUUCUUAAAGUUUCAAAAUUGGGAUUAUUGGCCAAGGGAAAUCCAUUUUAGAGAUGAUGAUAAAUGGUCAUGCACUCUGAAAAAAAUAAAAGAAGAUAGUUCAUUUGUUUCAAUUUAUACACACCUAUGGGAAAAUGUUCCUCGAAUAUCUGAAGCACUUUUGAUCAUGGAAUCAAAAUUAAAUGAAUAUUCACUUAUUUUGCAAAACCACACCUCUGAAAUAUUUAAGUGGAAAAGCAUGAUUUCUGAGACAAGUUCUUAUAGAAAAUUGGAACGAUAUGGGGAAUUUCUAAAGAAGUACCAUAAGAAAAAAAAGAUAAUGCUUUCAGAUGAAAUGGAGACAGAGAAGAAUAUAGAGGGUUGCAGCUUCACAGGAUUCAAAGCAAAUGAACUUACUCAGCUACCCAGACAUUUGGAUGCUGAACAAAUUUAUCUUUUUAUUUUAAAAGCCCAUAAUUUUGAUGAAAGAGUUUUUAAAAUCUGGAAGACUCAUUUUCUCUCAGAAGCCUCCAUUGCUCUUUUGCAUGACUCCUUUUGGUGGUGGUUUCUCCAUAAAUUUAGGGUAUAGUGAUUUUUAAAAAUUUAUUUUUUAAGUUGAUUUUUGGCAUAAUUAAUUUUUCAGUAGAGAUAAGUCUAGUACAAAAAUGCUUUUCUGCAUGCAACUACAGAGAUUAGUUUUUGAGCAUUCCUUAGAAAUCCUAUAUGAUGUCUAGAGUUCUUUCAGAGGAGUUAAAACUUUAAUAUAGAUUUCAAAAGAUUCUGGAUCUUUGAAAUUAGACUUCAUAUAUUAUAUCUAUCAUAAUAUAUAUCACAUAUUAUAUAAUUAGAGU
rnacentral:sRNA from 1 species